CCCCUUUCAAUUCGAGAUAAAGCGGACUACGUUUAAAGCGUCCUUCGGGACUAUGGUCAUAAACGCGCUUGUAAUAAACGGAUCGGACCCGGGGGCGGUACCCGGCAGCUCCACCACAACUCCUUCAUUUGAGGACAGAUGGGGCUGAAAUAGGAUCGACGGACGUCUAAAGAGGUUAGCUUUGGCUCGGUGAGAUACCACCGUUAUCGGUUCAUAAAAGCUAGUUGCAAAUGACAACAAAGCUCCAAUGGCUUUGGCUGCGUAAGCAGUUC
rnacentral:tmRNA from 1 species